CUAUGUUAUCCGAAAUGUGAGGGUUGUAUGGGGUUUCGAGAUCUGUACUCCUUCAACCUGGCUAUGCUCUCUAAACAGAUCUGGAGAUUGAUAACCAACCCUGAUUCCUUAUGUGCGCGAGUGCUGAAGGCAAAAUACUUUCCAAAUAAUUCGUUGCUUCAAGCCACUUUAAAGAAAGGAGCGUCGUUCACCUGGCAAAGCAUCAUGAAAGGGCUGGAAACUUUCAAAUUGGGCCACAUUUGGCGAAUUGGUACAGGGGAGAAUGUGCAAAUAUGGUCUGAUCCAUGGAUCCCAACGAGCCCGGAUAGGCGUGUUGUGUCCUCGAGGGGGCAAACUCUAUUAACCAAGGUAAAUGACCUCAUCGAUCCAAUGGCGGGGAAGUGGGAUGAAGAGCUAAUUAGAUCAAUAUUCAAUCAAGUGGACAGCACUAGAAUCCUCCAAAUUCCACUCAAUUAUGGUGCAUUUGAAGAUUUUAUAGCUUGGCAGCCAGAACAGCGAGGGUACUUUUCUGUGAAGUCAGCUUACAGAACACAAUGGAUUCAAACUAUUCAGAGCCAUGCAAACACAAUGCGUCGAUCAGGAGGCUCUGCAACACCGGCAGUAUGGAGACUGUUAUGGAAGCAAAAAGUCCCUCGUAAAAUUCAGAUUUUUGGAUGGAGGGCAUUACAUGGAAUAAUCCCUUUAAAGUCCAUACUCGUUAACAGACAUGUGGGAGGCAAUGGAGCUUGCCCCAUUUGUCACCAAGCUGCAGAAGGCAUCCGCCACCAACUGUUUGAAUGUGACAAUGCCAGAGAACUGUGGGAGCAACUUGGCAUGACUAGCAUUAUUUAG
rnacentral:rRNA from 1 species